AAUAGAUACCCGGGUAGUCCACGCCGUAAACGGUGGGCACUAGAUGUGGGGCUCUUUCCAUGAGUUCCGCGUCGCAGCUAACGCAUUAAGUGCCCCGCCUGGGGAGUACGGCCGCAAGGCUAAAACUCAAAGGAAUUGACGGGGGCCCGCACAAGCGGCGGAGCAUGCGGAUUAAUUCGAUGCAACGCGAAGAACCUUACCAAGGCUUGACAUAUACGGUCUAUCCCUAGAGAUAGGGAGUGCUUCGGCGCCGUAUACAGGUGGUGCAUGGUUGUCGUCAGCUCGUGUCGUGAGAUGUUGGGUUAAGUCCCGCAACGAGCGCAACCCUCGUUCUAUGUUGCCAGCACGUAAUGGUGGGACUCAUAGGAGACUGCCGGGGUCAACUCGGAGGAAGGUGGGGAUGACGUCAAAUCAUCAUGCCCCUUAUGUCUUGGGCUUCACGCAUGCUACAAUGGCCGGUACAAAGGGCUGCAAUCCGUAAGGUGGAGCGAAUCCCAAAAAGCCGGUCUCAGUUCGGAUUAAGGUCUGC
rnacentral:rRNA from 1 species